rnacentral:rRNA from 1 species
CCUACGGGUGGCUGCAGUAGGGAAUAUUGCUCAAUGGGGGAAACCCUGAAGCAGCGACGCCGCGUGGAGGAUGCCGGUUUUCGGCUUGUAAACUCCUUUUGUUAGAGAAGAUAAUGACGGUAUCUAACGAAUCAGCACCGGCUAACUCCGUGCCAGCAGCCGCGGUCAUACGGAGGGUGCCAGCGUUACUCGGAAUCGCUGGGCGUAAAGAGCGCGUAGGCGGGAUAGCAAGUCAGAUGUGAAAUCCUAUGGCUUAACCAGAGAAAUGCAUUUGAAACUGUUAUUCUAGAGGAUGGGAGAGGUAGGUGGAAUUCUUGGUGUAGGGGUAAAAUCCGUAGAGAUCAAGAGGAAUACUCAUUGCGAAGGCGACCUGCUAGAACAUAACUGACGCUGAUGCGCGAAAGCGUGGGGAGCAAACAGGAGUAGAUACCCGGGUAGUC